GUCUGUAUAGAUUAAGUAAAUCGUGAUGCUGUUAACUUCAAGAUGAGACACGUCUCUACAGUCG
rnacentral:tRNA from 1 species